CUCCGUGAUGCCCGGUGUCCCCAGGGGAGAACUGUCUACAGUGCAGGGAGAAAAGAGAGCGACAAAGAAAACUCAGGACUAGUCACCCUUCUCCCUGGACUCUCACAUGGUUUCCCUUUAUAAGGACACUUGGCUACAUUACAUGCCAUCCUUCCUGAACAUCUCAUUUUACUGAGGUCAUCUCUUUGCAGCCUUCUCUCUGAAUGAAGUCAUAUUCUCAGGUAUUAUUACAUCAUAGGACUUCAAUGUGUAAGUUUGGGGGUGGUGGUGGUGACAUAAUUCAGUCUAUAUCUCAAUUUUAAGCCUGGGUGGGUUUCUAAAAAGUCAGUUGAGAUUUAGCCAAGCCUCCUCCUAGCUGUGACAGAAACUUCACAAAACAUCCUAUGGGAGCAGAUCCCUAGAGAGUGUGGCUGAGUCUCCUCAGCAUCUGUAGCCUUGGAAAAACUGGACGUAUCAUCGACUCAGGGAACGCAAUCAGUGAGCGUCUUCUUGAAACGUUGAGAUCCUGUAUGCGGUGGUUGGAAUGAGAAUGGCCUCCCUAGACACUUAUCAUCUGCCCUGUGCGAUAGGAGGCUGGACCUUGGAGAUGUUUCUGAGAUUUGUUUCCUGGGCUUUGGAAAAGCAAAGUGAACAAAAAAUCCACUCUGAUGGGACGUGAUGAGAGGUGGAGAAGCAAAGACUUGGGGCUUUUGAAAGUGAAGUGGAUUUUUGAAUACUAAAAAAAAAAAUCUGUAAUUUCCAGUUUUAAAGAACUGCCUAUAAGGAUAAUUGAACAAAUAAAAAGUUCACUUUUUG
rnacentral:lncRNA from 1 species